AUGCGCUGCGCCACAGAUCCCAAGACCCUGUGCUCCAGAAUCUCCUCCCGCUUCCACGGGCGCACGAGCUUCCUGCUGGGGCACCACGAGCACCCUGACUCCUGGACGCCAGACACGAACGAGGAGAAGGUUCCCAGGCUCUGGAUGCCGCCUCCCUGUGCACAUGUUGGGGCUCCAGAGGUUCCAUGGGCACCGUGGAAGGAGGGGAUGGCGGGGGCUGGGGAGGCCCCCCAGGCCUCAGCCUUGAAGGCCCAAGCCGCCUCGCUCUCCAGGCCAGUGUCAUCGUCCCUGUUCCUGAAGAUGAGCAAAGUGGACAUGGUUCCGCUCCGCUUGCCUCAAGAGAGCAAGACAAAGGCCCAUGCGCCAACCCAGUCCCAUUCCCAUUUCACAACGAACACCCCCAGCCACACUCAGACUCACUCUCCAGCCCACAUCCCUGAGCAAACCCACUCCCAGACCCAGGGCCUUGAGCCCACUGCGGCCCCCACCCCUGCCGAAGCCCCACCCCCGCCCCCAACCCCUAACCCAGCAAAGGCCACAGCCCCUACCUCAGCCCAGGCCCCGGGCCACACCUCAGCCUCUACUCUGGUCCAGGACCCAGGCCACAACACUGCAGACCCUAUCCCAGCCCAGGCCCCAGCCUCGGACCAGAGUCCUAAGCGUAGCCACUCCCAGGCCCACAGCCCCGAGCACACCUCAGUCCAGUCCUCCUUCAGGGUCCCUGCGAAAGCCUUGGCUCACUCUCAGGGCCACGACCCAGCCCACACCUCAGCCCAGGCUUGGACUGACUCCCAGGCUCCUGGCCCUGAGCACACAUCAGCCCAGGCCCCAGAAGGCACCACAGCCCAUUCUCAACAAGUCCACACUUACAGCCACACCCCACUCGCUGCCCCAGCCUCGGCUUCAGCCCUUCCCCCAAAGCUUGCCCCAGCCACGAUGCCCGUCCUCACUCCUCCACAACCAGUCCCUGUCCCCGUCUGUGGCCCAGCCUCUGCUCCAUCACUGGUCAUGGCCCUGACUACCACUUCAGUGCCUUCUCCUAUCCCUGCCACCGCCCACACUCCUGUCCUAAGUCCUGUUCCCUCUGCCCUGCCUGCCUUCAACCACGGCCUCUCCACUGGCCACGUGGUCUACGAUGCCCGCAGAGUGAAGCAGAACAUCUUCCAUAUGUACACCCCCCAGAACUCUGGGUGUCCCAGAAAGGACUUGAGUGUCUUCUCCAGGUCCCAAGACGGGCAGGGCCUGGUGAGUCCGGGGGUAUCCGAGCAAACAUUAAAGCCACGCAGUGGGGAUUGUGCCAAGCCUCCUUCAGCACCUAUCCUGGGCUACCUGGAGUUGGGGAAUAUGGAAUGGAAGGUCUCCGACGAUGCCAAAGACAAGUUCUCCCAGCCCAAGAAAUUCUCUUACUGCAGCUUCCAACCUUGCAGUUCGGAGAGGAAGAGCUCCCAGGCUCCAGUCUACCCCAAGUUCCUGGUCUACUCUCAGGAUGCUGCAUCCUCUAAACCUUGCUUCCACUCUCCCACUGCUACACAGAACUCACUGUCUGCCCUUCCUCCGCCAUGCACGCUCUCCUUGCCGCUCGUUCCUCCCAGAACCUACGUGGUCGCAACCAACCAUCAGAAGCCCUCCACCUUAAUUCAAACCCACACCCUUUUCUCGGCCUCCAAGCUGCCUCAGUCUAUCCCACCUUGCCAAUUCCCCAUCCCUCCUCUGUUCUCCACCACUUCUCAACCCCUCGUCCAACCCCAACAACCUGAGCUUCAUGAGGGUCUCGGCCUCAUCCAAGACCCUGGCCACCAAUUGACCUCAAGCCCUUCCAAGGACUCCAGAGUUCCCAGGAAGCCGAGCCUUACCCAAAAUCCAGGCCUCCACAAGAGUCUG
rnacentral:lncRNA from 1 species